UUUCAAUUGCUCAGUUGGUAAAGCGUGAGACUCUUAAUCUCAGGGUUGUGGGUUGGAGCCCCUCAUUGGUCAAAA